rnacentral:rRNA from 1 species
CGACUCUCGGCAACGANUGCAUCGAUGAAGAACGCAGCGAACUGCGAUACUUGGUGUGAAUUGCAGAAUCCCGUGAACCAUCGAGUCUUUGAACGCAAGUUGCGCCCGAAUCCAUUUGGACGAGGGCACGUUUGCCUGGGUGUCACAC